rnacentral:rRNA from 1 species
UCCCCUAGUAACUGCGAGUGAAGCGGGAAAAGCUCAAAUUUAAAAUCUGGCGGUCUUUGGCCGUCCGAGUUGUAGUCUGGAGAAGUGCUUUCCGCGCUGGACCGUGUAUAAGUCUCUUGGAACAGAGCGUCAUAGAGGGUGAGAAUCCCGUCUUUGACACGGACUACCAGUGCUUUGUGAUGCGCUCUCAAAGAGUCGAGUUGUUUGGGAAUGCAGCUCAAAAUGGGUGGUGAAUUCCAUCUAAAGCUAAAUAUUGGCGAGAGACCGAUAGCGAACAAGUACCGUGAGGGAAAGAUGAAAAGCACUUUGGAAAGAGAGUUAAACAGUACGUGAAAUUGCUGAAAGGGAAACGCUUGAAGUCAGUCGCGUCUUCCGGAACUCAGCCUUCCUUUUGGUUGGUGCACUUUCCGGUAGACGGGCCAGCAUCGAUUUCGACCGUCGGAAAAGGGCUGGGGAAAUGUGGCACCUUUCGGGGUGUGUUAUAGUCCUCAGUCGCAUACGUCGGUUGGGAUCGAGGAUCGCAGCGCGCCGCAAGGCAGGGGUUCGCCCACUUUCGCGCUUAGGAUGCUGGCAUAAUGGCUUUAAACGACCCGUCUUGAAACACGGACCAAGGAGUCUAACAAACCUGCGAGUGUUUGGGUGGAAAACCCGAGCGCGUAAUGAAAGUGAAAGUUGAGACCUCUGUCGUGGAGGGCAUCGACGCCCGGACCUGACGUUUCUCUGACGGAUCCGCGGUAGAGCAUGUUUGUUGGGACCCGAAAGAUGGUGAACUAUGCCUGAAUAGGGUGAAGCCAGAGGAAACUCUGGUGGAAGGCUCGUAGCGAUUCUGACGUGCAAAUCGAUCGUCAAAUUUGGGUAUUAGGGCGAAA